AUGCAAAGAGGUCACCUUCUCUUACCUUCUAAAGCUGCCGAUCUCGUUCCUCCUCUCGCGAUUCCUUCGAUCUCCUCAACCUUGCGCCGCCAGUUUGACAGGAACUUUUCGGCAUUAUUAUGCAGUUUUUUUUACAGCAUUGCAGCAUGGAUGAUGCAGAGUUUGGAGCAGCAUACAGUAUGGAUGGUUUUGAAGCAAGGUUUGGACUGUUUUGAAGUGUUUGUAGCAGCUGAUUUAUGGACAACAUUGGUACAAGUUAUGGAGCAAUUUUGA